UAUCCCUAUGAAGAAUGAACUGAUAUUUCAAUUAAAAGUAGUGGGCUGAUCUCCAUUGAUGAUCACUAACCAAUUCUGAGGGAUG
rfam:Populus trichocarpa scaffold_1_contig_487, whole genome shotgun sequence.